GGGCUGGGGCUCAGUGGUAGAGCUCCUGCUCGAAUGUGUGAGGCCCUGGGUUCGAUCCUCAGCACCCCA
rnacentral:tRNA from 1 species